CAAAUUUCUGUAAUUUCUACAGCAAAAUUUUAGUUACUUCUUGUUCUGUCAUUUUACAAAAGUUUAGCUGUACAUUGCAAUGCAUUGUGGGUCAAAAAACUAUUACAGUAGUUGACAGCUUUUCCCCCACCAUAAAUUACAGGCAGAUUUGCGCUUGACUGUAAAUGAUGCCGUAGUACAGUUGUUGUACUGUUGAAUGUGUUGCACGAGGCCGUUAGCUUAAAACAAGACCUUGAUGUCAGAUUGCAGAGGAGCAGCCACAACCACAUUGCCACUCCACUUAUCCACAAUAUAAGCCAGCAGGGACUAAUGCAGAUGAGGUGAAGUGCAUAGGGAGUGCGAUCCAUGGCCAGUCAUAAUCCUCCUGCUUAUGGCACACUUCAAAGAAACACCUGAGGGACUCCUGUAAGUGUGUUGGCAGCAGCUGACAAGAAACACUACAGCUUCCUUACUCUCCAAGACUAAUU